rnacentral:rRNA from 1 species
AGAGUUUGAUCCUGGCUCAGAAUGAACGCUGGCGGCGUGCUUAACACAUGCAAGUCGAACGAGAAAGGGAUUGCUUGCAAUCCUGAGUAGAGUGGCGCACGGGUGAGUAACACGUAGAUAAUCUACCUUCGAUUUUGGGAUAACCAAGCGAAAGCUUGGCUAAUACCGGAUAAAGUUUUUAUACGAGAGUACAAAAAUGAAAGUAUGCCUCUUCUUGAAAGCAUAUGAUUGGAGAUGAGUCUGCGGACCAUUAGCUUGUUGGUGGGGUAAGAGCCUACCAAGGCGACGAUGGUUAGCUGGUCUGAGAGGAUGAUCAGUCACACUGGAACUGGAACACGGUCCAGACUCCUACGGGAGGCAGCAGUGAGGAAUUUUGCGCAAUGGGGUAACCCCUGACGCAGCAACGCCGCGUGAGUGAAGAAGGCCUUUGGGUCGUAAAGCUCUGUCAACUGGGAAGAAGUUGUAUUUAUCCAAUAGGUAGAUACAUUGACGGUACCAGGGGAGGAAGCGUCGGCUAACUCCGUGCCAGCAGCCGCGGUAACACGGGGGACGCAAGCGUUAUUCGGAAUUAUUGGGCGUAAAGGGCGUGUAGGCGGUCUUAUCGGUCA